GCCUAGGUGGCUCAGUCAGAGUGCUUGACUUUGGCUCAGGUCAUGAUCUCGUGGUCUGUGGGUUCAAGCCCCACGUCAGGCU
rnacentral:tRNA from 1 species